rnacentral:rRNA from 1 species
GAUCCUGGCUCAGGAUGAACGCUAGCUACAGGCUUAACACAUGCAAGUCGAGGGGCAGCAUGACGAUAGCUUGCUAUUGUUGAUGGCGACCGGCGCACGGGUGAGUAACGCGUAUCCAACCUUCCCAUGUCCACGGGAUAGCCCGUCGAAAGGCGGAUUAAUACCGUAUGAGGUCACAUGCGGGCAUCUAAGUGUGACGAAAGGUUUUGCGGACAUGGAUGGGGAUGCGUCCGAUUAGCUGGUUGGCGGGGUAACGGCCCACCAAGGCGACGAUCGGUAGGGGUUCUGAGAGGAAGGUCCCCCCACAUUGGAACUGAGACACGGUCCAAACUCCUACGGGAGGCAGCAGUGAGGAAUAUUGGUCAAUGGACGUAAGUCUGAACCAGCCAAGUAGCGUGCAGGAUGACGGCCCUAUGGGUUGUAAACUGCUUUUAUGCGGGGAUAAAGUGUGGGACGUGUCCCAUAUUGUAGGUACCGCAUGAAUAAGGACCGGCUAAUUCCGUG